CCGACACAGGUGGUCAGGUAGAGAAUACCAAGGCGCUUGAGAGAACUCGGGUGAAGGAACUAGGCAAAAUGGUGCCGUAACUUCGGGAGAAGGCACGCUGACACGUAGGUGAAGUGAUUUACUCACGGAGCUGAAGUCAGUCGAAGAUACCAGCUGGCUGCAACUGUUUAUUAAAAACACAGCACUGUGCAAACACGAAAGUGGACG
rnacentral:rRNA from 1 species